UCAAAUAAUUUCUAUAUUUCUAUAUUCAUAAAAGAAUAAAUAUGGUUAAAGUUUAUAUGUUUAUUUAUGCUAUGAUUUUAUUUUUUUCCAUAUUUAUUUCUACAACAAAUAGCACUGAGAUUGUUUGCCGAAGUAAUGACGAAUGUCGAGGUCUUGUGUGUAUCCUUCCUUUGGUUCCAAGCUGCAUAUUUUCAUUUUUAGGAGAAACAGAAAAACCGCCCGAAACAGGGAUUUGUAAAUGUAUCCAGAAGAUCCGAUAAGUGCACAAUAUUAGUGGCUUGUGAAUGUGUGAAGAAGCCUUAAAAGUUGAAUGAAGAAAUUAAAUUAUGUUGGUCUUUU